CUGUGGCCCAAUUAUGGUUGUGCUCUACGGCACGAAACGUUAGUGUCCAUAACUCCGCCGCAACUAUUCGACUGAGAAAGACGAAAGGAAAAGAAAAAAUGGCAAAAGCGAAGCAGCAGAAAUCAUCUAAGCCUAAGAAACAACCGCGUCAGGUGGAGAAGAAGAAGAAGAAGGAAGGAAAGGAUUGUGAUCUGUCACAGUUCCGUGCUCAACUUGACUCCUUAGGUCUUAAGAUCAUCCAAGUAACCGCCGACGGUAAUUGCUUCUUCAGGUCACUCGCGGAUCAAUUAGAAGGCAACGAGGAUGAACACAGCAAGUACCGUAGCAUGGUUGUACAGUACAUAGUGAAGAAUCGUGAAAUGUUUGAGCCUUUUAUCGAAGACGAUGUUCCGUUUGAGGAUUACUGUAAAACAAUGGAUGAUGAUGGGACUUGGGCUGGGAAUAUGGAGUUACAAGCUGCUUCUCUUGUCACACGCAGUAACAUUUGUAUCCACAGGAGUAUGUCACCUCGUUGGUAUAUACGCAACUUUGAAGAUGCUAGAACCCGCAUGAUCCAUCUGUCUUACCAUGAUGGGGAACAUUAUAAUAGUGUGCGUUCCAAGGAAGAUGCUUGUGGUGGACCCGCUAGGCCUGUUGUGAUUGAGGCUGAUGCUAAAGUAUCAGCAGCAUCUAAACAAGCGAAAGCCACUGAGGGAAAGUCCAAGAACAGAAGUGAUAAGUGUGAUGUGGAUGCUGGGGCUGUCAAAGUAGUCAUGUUGGGUAGUUGUUGUAACAAUGCUGAGAAAGCUGAACAGGUUCUAGUACAAGUAAACGGUGAUGUGGAUGCUGCGAUAGAAUUUUUGAUAGCAGAACAAGGAAUGGAGUCAAUGAUUGAAAAUGAUUCAGAAACUGCUUCUGCGGCAAUGGAAAGCACCGAGCAACUCAGAGAAGCAAUUGAGACGAUCAGUGAGGAUGAAUCAGGCAGCUGCAGUAGUAUAGAGACAGUCCUUGCCAAGUGCAGCUUGGAUGAUAAGAAGAUCCCGAGGAAUAAAUCAUGUCCAUGUGGUUCGAAGAAGAAAUACAAGUCCUGCUGCGGAACAGCAGCUGGGAGAUCCUCUGUUAAACUGUUAGUGAGCCAAACAAUGGAGUCGAAGAAGGGGAGAAAGAAUCUGAGGAGAGGAACAUCGAAUGAAGUUGAAGCAAAUGCACCAGAUGUGGGUGCUCUUUGUAUAUAAUGAAGUCUCACUCUCACACACACAGAAAAACAUAAAGGGGGAAAGAAGAUGAUCUUUUAAGCAUGGAUUCAGUAUUUGACAUAACAGCUUGCUCAGAGUCAAAGAAACUUUUUAAGAGGAUAGGCGGAAGAAGAGGUGGUGGAGAUGACAUGCGCAUAUCAAUAUAAUUAUUGUUUGUCUCUUCUCUAAUAAAUAUUUUUGUCUACGAAUAUAUACCCUGUGUAUGCUAAAUUAUUUUAAUCAGAUUCUGAUAAAUUUAUACGAAAGAUACUAUCGACUUCCUGUCUGGAUAGACAACAUAAAGACUUUUUUCUUUUUUGAUAGAAACUAUUGGUUGA